rnacentral:lncRNA from 1 species
UCGAGAAGCUGCCUGUCUCCGAUUUCCUUGCGAAGUGUAAGGUCGUCUUGACUGUUUCACCAUGGGACCCAUGGAGCUCCAGCAAAUUGUGGGCCAAGUAUCCUGUACGUGCAUUGUGACACAUGUAUACCCUACGGGUACCAAAACCCAAAAUACAUUCGGGCUUUCUUCUUAAGUCAAAAUUUUCGGGCCAUGCCAUUCUUUAACAGUAAGGUCCGUUACCCUUCGGGUUUCUAGCAGCUUAUAGUGUCGUUUCUUCUUAGGCCAAGAACUCUGUUUGGUAGAUUCGGCCUCGUUAUUUGAUACUUGGUCAAGAAUAGAGUAGCUUGGAAUAUUAUUACCUCACAAUUGCUUUCUUUCAUUUCCUAAAAGCUCAUUAGUACUUGCUCACUUCUUACACUCCUCUAGUUUAGGUGUAGUGUCAGCGGGUAUCGCAUCAUCGGUGAUGUGAUCCUAGACAACCUAGAAUUAGUUCUAAAGAUGUAACCUUUCAUCAAUGAGGAAUACCCAAGACAAGAAAAUAUUUUCAUCCUUGAACGCUUUCCUUAUUACGAUUAUUUCAAGAGAUGGGACAAGUUUGUCCAAGCCAUAAGGCUUAAGACCCAAGUAAGAUUAACGGGCUUGAAGAAUCAAAAGGAAGUCCAAGCUUUGGGCCCAACUCGAGAAGGCCUCAAGGCCUUAUGACUAAGAUGGGCCACGACCCGAGGAUGCCGCACCCAUGGGUAACCCACGCCUAGGGAAGAGACCCACACGUGCACCGAACAUGUUGCCCGGCCCACAUGGCUCACGAACACGCAUGUAUUCCCAAACGGACCACAAGCAUGAGCGCCUGGGAGCACCCACACACACAGCCCUCUAAGCCUAUGCACAACUGACAGUGCAUGCGUAGGCUCAAG